GAUGAACGCUGGCGGCGUGCCUAAUACAUGCAAGUCGAGCGAACAGAUGAGGAGCUUGCUCCUCUGACGUUAGCGGCGGACGGGUGAGUAACACGUGGAUAACCUACCUAUAAGACUGGGAUAACUUCAGGAAACAGGAGCUAAUACCGGAUAAUAUAUUGAACCGCAUGGUUCAAUAGUGAAAGACGGUUUUGCUGUCACUUAUAGAUGGAUCCGCGCCGCAUUAGCUAGUUGGUAAGGUAACGGCUUACCAAGGCAAGGAUGCGUAGCCGACCUGAGAGGGUGAUCGGCCACACUGGAACUGAGACACGGUCGAGACUCCUACGGGAGGACGCAGUAGGGAAUCUUCCGCAAUGGGCGAAAGCCGGACGGAGCAACGCCGCGUGAGGGAUGAAGGUCUUCGGAUCGUAAAACUCUGUUAUUAGUGAAGAACAAAUGUGUAAGUAACUAUGCACGUCUUGACGGUACCUAAUCAGAAAGCCACGGCUAACUACGUG
rnacentral:rRNA from 1 species